CUUAGUAACGGCGAGUGAAGCGGUAAAAGCUCAAAUUUGAAAUCUGGUACUUUCAGUGCCCGAGUUGUAAUUUGUAGAAUUUGUCUUUGAUUAGGUCCUUGUCUAUGUUCCUUGGAACAGGACGUCAUAGAGGGUGAGAAUCCCGUUUGGCGAGGAUACCUUUUCUCUGUAAGACUUUUUCGAAGAGUCGAGUUGUUUGGGAAUGCAGCUCAAAGUGGGUGGUAAAUUCCAUCUAAAGCUAAAUAUUGGCGAGAGACCGAUAGCGAACAAGUACAGUGAUGGAAAGAUGAAAAGAACUUUGAAAAGAGAGUGAAAAAGUACGUGAAAUUGUUGAAAGGGAAGGGCAUUUGAUCAGACAUGGUGUUUUUUGCAUGCACUCGCCUCUCGUGGGCUUGGGCCUCUCAAAAAUUUCACUGGGCCAACAUCAAUUCUGGCAGCAGGAUAAAUCAUUAAGAAUGUAGCUACUUCGGUAGUGUUAUAGCUUUUUGGAAUACUGUUAGCCGGGAUUGAGGACUGCGCUUCGGCAAGGAUGUUGGCAUAAUGGUUAAAUGCCGCCCGUCUUGAAACACGGAC
rnacentral:rRNA from 1 species